ACAAGGGAGGCUGCUGAGGUCUUUGGUAUUCAUGGCCAGGUGUUUACUGUGGCUUUGCUCUUUGCGUUAGCAGAGUACCAUCAUUUUAAAUGAUUUUUCACAGGUAGAAGACCUGAGUGAUUUCAAAAAAAGUAUUUAACUUCUUGUGGUAUCUUCAGGAGCAUCGGUAUGUGGGUCUUCACUGCAGAAUAUUGGGCCCAAAAUAUGUGUACAGGUUGAUAAGGCUGCAGUAUGCAGACUUUAGCACUCUCCAAAGAGAGGAAUCAUAAAUCCUGGCUCCUUUCCGUGCCCCUUGCCUCCAGUUUCUGCCUCCUGGCACAUGGCCAUUUUUAAUGAUAAAACAACACGAAUUGCCUUUCUUCUUCCUUUGUACUGCAGCAAAAGAAAACAUAGAUAAAGCAGCAUUGUUCUUCUGUCUGAUGAUGGACCAUGUGGUGAAGGACAAAGCUCCAGUUUCCAUGGCAUCCUAAAAACUUAGCUAUCAUACUUCAGAUAUUGAUGGGCCCUUGUAUGACAGAUGGAUGGUUCAGAACCUUUAUUUAUUGGGAUUUCAAUGACAGCUCAAAAUCUGGAGACUUCUAAACACAGAUGUUUCUCUGGGUGUCUUCGUUGGCUUUAUUUGGAGUUUUUGCACCUGGAGGACUUUUCUAUCUGACCUUGGUAUCUUUAUGACUGUCCUCAUCCUCUCAAGCUCCUAACCUCUUUCAGACAUUCUAUAACUAAAUGGGAUCAGAGGGCGAUCUGGGCAGAAAAGCUAGAAACAUGGAAAAAAGCUUGCUAAAAAUGCCAAAACCUCACAGACUUGUUCUCUGUUGCUGUCUUCAUCACUCCUCCUCCUCUCCCAGUGGUGUGUCUGGAGCUGGUGACAAACAGGUGAUUGCAGUGAUGGCAACGUUUUGCUACCUGAGAGCUCCUCACUGUUAGGCCAUUUAGGACAUAACAUGUCCCUAAGGAGAGGUGUCCACAGCAGCAGUCUUCCCUCAGUCACAUUGGCUCAUAAGGUGAAAUUUCUUAGCAAUGCAUGGGCUUCAAAUCUGUGAUUUCUAUUUUCUAUGUCAUUCAGCACGUGUAGCUGAGGUUUUGGGGCAUAUCUAGUAUCUGGAGCCAUUCAGCUUAGUGCAGUCAAAUCUGAAUUAGAUCACCCAUGGUCAUCGCCAAGUAGGAAAAGUUCCGCACAGGCCAAGAAUUUCUAAAACAUUAGCAUUUUGCAUAGCAGAAAUUACUGCUAGGUUUUCCUCCUGGUAAAUAAACAUAUAAACAAUGAAACACAAUAUCUUGGGACAUCAGGUCACUUCAGAGUAACUUUCCAUGGUCUUAUUUGAGUUUCUAGUUUUCUGAGAAGUUAUUAUAACCUUCCCUAUGCACGAUGAAUAGGAAAGUCCCAGCCCAGGUGAAUCAGCUGCCUGAACACCCAUCUGUCAGCAAAAUCAAAAUAAAUUUACACUUGUAGGGAAACUCAUCAUAAUCCUUAUGUCCUUUGCCACAGAAAGCUGACACAAAGCCUGAUUCUUCAAGAUUACAGGAUGUUUAUAAUAACCUCCCUGUUUCUGGGCAGGCAGCUUUUUUUUUUUUUCUUUUUUUCUUUUUUUUCUCAGUAAUAUACAUCUCAAUGGCUAAAUGCUGCUUUAAGCAUGAUCAAGACGAGGCUUAAUGGAAAUGUAACCUUUAAAAUGACCAAGUAUGGGGAACAAUACAUGUCCAAAGAAGAUGAAAGUUCUAAAAGUGAGCUGUCAGAUGAGGCCCUUAAUCAGGAUCUUAAUUAGGAACCUUAAUAAUUUAGGGUCCCUGUGCAGCUUGUCUGCUUCUCUGCAGGGAGACACUUAGUAGGAGGAGGAAAAAAUUCAAAGGAUGUCCUGCCACAGGGCAAUCUGUACUCAGAUUACAUGAUGGCAUUGCUGCUUCUUUUCCCUCCCCUUCCCAGCUCUCCACACCAUCCCCAGCUGUGUCCAGGUGUGUCCACCUUCCCUCAAUACCCACACAUUUUUUCUUCUUUCAUAAGGUGCCCCUCAUUAACACAACUCAUUGUCCUGCUGUUCUGUAUUUUUCUGUAGCUGUUGGACAAAAUUUGUUUAUAGGAUGGGCUCACGACAGUAACAGAACAGGAUAGGCAUGAGAAAUCCUCCCAGCUGAGGAAGAAAUCGCUGUGGGACUAAGUGCUCAGCUGGUUUUCAGCACACACCUUCCCUUGGACCAGCUGUUUCACAUCUUGGCCCUGGGCUGUGCUACCUGCACAACACGAUGGGCCUGCCCCAUCACAGGCUCUGUGUAUAGGGCCUGCAAUGACCUGGACAUCUGGGUGCUGGGACAUCUGCAAUGAGGGGACAUCUGGAGCAGGAAACUCUGUCCUGAAGGCCUUUCCUCAGAACAAUUGCAGUUUUUCUUGGACCAGACCAUCUCUUGGCCUCCUGAUUUCCCCUGGAGACUCAAGUCACCUCCUUUGCCCCCUUGUUUGUGUUGGUCAGGGUGUGGAAGAUACUGAGGAAAGUCAGAAAAUGCAGAGCUGCAUCUGUUCCCAACCCUCUCUAGGAACGAACAUGCAAGCUUAGAGGGUGAGGGCUACUGGGCCACUUUGCUGGUUGACCUCAAUGUGCUGCAGUUCUCCUUGACCACAAGAAUUUAAAUGGGGAGGAGAGAUCCUGCCAGAAUAACCUGGGGCAAAGACAGACACCCAAGAAGGUGCCAAGCCAAGCAGUGUGGGAUAGCAGCAAAGCAUCUGCCAGCAGAGAGAGCACCGGGAGCCCACUCAUCGCAACCCAAUAAGAACGAGCACUCCACAAAGUAAAGUAAUGUGUGAGCCAAGGAGGCUUAACUACAGCUUGUGGAACUGGGUGAGAAGCAGGUUGGAUGUGUAAGGCAAUUUAGCAUAAACUAGCCACGGCUGCUGUUGAUAUUGCUUCCUACGAUCCGUCACGAUGAGGUUGUGGUUGAGUAAUUCAGCAAAAGCUCCAGCUCCUCUCACAAAACAGAAAUCAACCAUCACUGAGUAUUAAUGGAGUGAGAAAAGUAAUUAGGUCUAAUUUCAAAUGUCUCAGCCAAUUAAGUAACAGAUGUGAGAAAAGCGGUGUAAUUUAGCUCUGCUCAUCAAAAAUGAAAUUGUCCACACUAACAAACCUCAUGCUGAGCCCCUGGAAGGCUCAUGCAAGGCUCCUUUGGGGAAAUACACAGGUUGUGCAAAGGUGUCAGGAUCAAGUGCACCUUCUGUUUUUCUUGUUCAUAAAAUUUUGUCUUUCAGGUUUCAGUGUUUUAAAGCUUGGCUCUGCCCUCAGGCAUUCCCAAGAAACCAAGUUAAGCCUGGCCAAACCAAGAGCUGUCACCAGGUCUGAGAAGAAGCCUUCAGUUCAUAAACGGGAAAUACGCUCCUCAAAAGGCAGGGUGUAAGCUCAACCUGCCAGAGCCCACCUCACCACUCACUCCGAGCCAAAAUUUACAACACUGUUUGCAAACACAGGACCAGAUCCGGGCUUUGAAUGUGCAUGAGCUUCAUGUGCAGUUGUCCCACUGAAUUUUGUUAUGUGGGAGUCAGGCCCAUCUAAGUAAGGCUAGCAGCCCUCCCCGAUGUCCAUGCUGGAGUUGGGCCAGCUCUGCUGCAGUCUCAGAUAUCACACUGGCUCAUGUGAUAUCUGAUAUCAUCACUGCUUUCUCCUGCUGUAUCCAGGUGAAAGCACCUUGGACGUCAUGGAAGUCCUAUUGCAAGAGGCAAGGGCCAAGGUGCAAAGCUGCAAUGGAAAGUGUCGAAAGCCUGGGAGCACAGGAGCUGAGUGUGAGGAAGAAAUACGUUCCCUGUAGCCUUCAAAGAGAUCUACGGGCUAUAACCAGCAGUUCAUGGGGUCUGUCACUGAAUGAAUGACAGGCUGGUGGGCUAAUGGAGUAUUUCAAUACAAGCCUGGAUCGGGUCUCACAUCCACACCUCUCAAUCACUUGCAAGACCCUUGCUCAGGGUAGAUCCACCUGGAGCUCACCAUGCCAAUGAAGAUUUCAUACUCAUUUAACAGCAUCUGUGUUUCUUUGGCUGCAGGAAGGGUGUUCAUAUCAUGGAUUUGUAGAUGAUUGAAUGAAAAUUUGUGUAGCAAUAUCAGGCCAGUGUUCACUCUGCUGGUGGGGUCACCCAGAGGCAUUGGGUUUGGGAGACUGCUUGGAAAUGGGUGAAGGCCCCUAAAGAAAUACCACAUUCACCUCUGAGGACUUGUUGGUUAAAAACAGCUAAUAGCUGCUGUUGACCUGUGCUGGGUUUGAAGCAGUGACCCAGAGAUGAAAGCCUUCUGUCCUAGUGCCAAUCCUUUGACUCUCUCUGCUGUAACAAUAAAUAUCCCCCAAAUCUCUUGGAACUCCCAGCAAUUAUAGCCUUAAAAUAAACUUUUAGCACAGGCUAGUAAUUACUGAAUGUUUCUUAUUGUUUCCCCUCUGGGAGAUGUGUAUCCCUCAGGAAAUGAGUUUCUAAUUAGAUAGGAGAAGCAGGGCAGCAACAAUAGUGUGGGAAAGCUAAAUUAAUAAAAGCUCCUAGGUACACUCUGACCAACCUGGACAGAGAAGUGACAAAUGAUGACUUGCCUGGACCAGAGGAUUUUAACUUCGUGUCUUCCUGGGAGAUGCCUGCACCAGCUGUGCCAGAAAAGAUGUGAUUGAAGGAAGAGAGGGAAGGAGUAAAGAUGUUUUUAGAGACCCUGGUAAAAAUCUGCACAGAGCAGUGCACAGCAAUGCUUAAAAAAAUAAAAAUAAAUCCCAAAUCAUGUGAUACUGGCAUCACCUUCUGCAGGACCUUGCCUACUAAUUUGUGUGGGUAGAUUAACAAAAUAGGCAUGCAUCCUCUUUCCUGAGGUGCUAAGCUAGUUCAUUUCAGAGCCCAAUAUUCCUUUUACAGACAGAAUUUUAGGGAUUCUGAUCUGCUUUACAGUGCCUGCCCUCUCACUGAACAAGUGGGCUGAAACAUUCUCCAAGCACCGUAUGGCUCAAAGAGACCAGGACCAGUGAUUCACAUCCUUUUGGAUGUGAAUUCUUGUGAUGGUUCAACAACCCAAUUCAGUUCCAUGUCUGGUUUUGUUUUU